CUCCUCUGCCGCCCACUCCGCUCCGCUCGCCUGCGCGCGCUCUUGUUUCGGUGUACAGUCUACAUAUGGAGAAUCGAUUGUGAUGACAUUCCGAUGGCAUACCCGUAUGUGGAGUUCCAGAGAGGUCUGCCCAUAGAAAUCUAGCCACUUUGCUCUGAAUCCUGACUGGUUUGCAGUUGCAGCCAUGGUGAGCGAGCUCAUCAAAUCAUCCCCGCAAGCGAGGGGGAGAUGCACACAAGAACGACGGACGGAGAGGAUUAGUCAGUGAAACAAAAACAAAAAAGAGAAAAGAUUGCAAGAACUGAAGAAAUGCAUUGGGCACUAGCCAGUAGGACCUAUCAACGAGCCAAGCUGAGAUUGUAAUUUGCUGUACAUGGUGUAAGGUAUGCCAAUAUAUGUUUGAGGGAACUCCUCUAGCUUGCACCACAUGACUGUGGCCAAGAGAGUAGGCAAGUAGCUUGCUUCGUUAAGGUGUAUACGUACCAUCGCACUUUUUGAGAAAUUAAUCUCCAGACCAAUAGCAAGAGAGAAA